rnacentral:lncRNA from 1 species
UGGGUAUCUACUCAGGAUCAGCUUGAAAUAGUCCUCUUAAUAUUGAUUUUUCUUCUUCAAAAAAAAUCUGCCUGCGAAUCUGAACGAAGCUUUGUUCGCGAUCAACUCUUUGAUCAUUUCCUUGAUAUUUUUCUUCUAUUCUUCUCUUACUUUUUCUUUCCUAGAUUAUGAAGCAACCAGGGACUAAAAACCAGCAAUCAAGUAGAAUGUCGAAACCUCUUUUGGGCAUGAAGAUGGAGGACAUCCAAGAUGAUGGACGUUGGACCUCCAAGGGAGAAGAGAGGGGAGAAGAAAAGAGGG